AGAGUUUGAUCCUGGCUCAGGAUGAACGCUAGCGACAGGCUUAACACAUGCAAGUCGAGGGGCAGCGGGGAGUGAAGCUUGCUUCACUUUGCCGGCGACCGGCGCACGGGUGAGUAACACGUAUGCAACCUGCCCGAAACAGGGGGAUAAGCGGAAGAAAUUCCGUCUAAUACCGCAUAACACCUUGCUGAGACAUCUUAGUGAGGUCAAAGGAUUUCGAUCCGGUUUCGGAUGGGCAUGCGGCGCAUUAGCUAGUCGGCGGGGUAACGGCCCACCGAGGCGACGAUGCGUAGGGGUUCUGAGAGGAAGGUCCCCCACACUGGUACUGAGACACGGACCAGACUCCUACGGGAGGCAGCAGUGAGGAAUAUUGGUCAAUGGGCGAGAGCCUGAACCAGCCAAGUCGCGUGAGGGAAGACGGUCCUAUGGAUUGUAAACCUCUUUUGUCAGGGAGCAAGAAAUCUCACGAGUGGGAUAGCGAGAGUACCUGAAGAAAAAGCAUCGGCUAACUCCGUGCCAGCAGCCGCGGUAAUACGGAGGAUGCGAGCGUUAUCCGGAUUUAUUGGGUUUAAAGGGUGCGCAGGCGGAAGUGGUAAGUCAGCGGUAAAAUAGCGAGGCUCAACCUCGUCGAGCCGUUGAAACUGCUCUUCUAGAGUGGGCGAGAAGUACGCGGAAUGCGUGGUGUAGCGGUGAAAUGCAUAGAUAUCACGCAGAACUCCGAUUGCGAAGGCAGCGUACCGGCGCCCAACUGACGCUCAGGCACGAAAGCGUGGGUAUCGAACAGGAUUAGAUACCCUGGUAGUCCACGCAGUAAACGAUGAAUACUAAUUGUUCGGUUAGAAUGAUAGCUGAGUGAUACAGCGGAAA
rnacentral:rRNA from 1 species